AGAGUUUGAUUCUGGCUCAGGAUGAACGCUGGCGGCGUGCCUAACACAUGCAAGUCGAGCGGAGAUAAGUUGAAGCCUAGCGAUUCUUAUCUUAGCGGCGGAUGGGUGAGUAACACUGGGUAACCUGCCCUGUACUGGGGAAUAACAGCUGGAAACGGCUGUUAAUGCCGCAUAUGCGCACGGAGCCACAUGACUCCGGGCGGAAAGAUUUAUCGGUACAGGAUGGGCCCGCGCCGGAUUAACUAGUUGGCGGGGUAACGGCCCACCAAGGUGAUGAUCCGUAGCCGACCUGAGAGGGUGACCGGCCACAUUGGGACUGAGACACGGCCCAAACUCCUACGGGAGGCAGCAGUGGGGGAUAUUGCACAAUGGGGGAAACCCUGAAUGCAGCGACGCCGCGUGAAGGAUGACGUAUUUCGGUAUGUAAACUUCUAUCAGCGGGGAAGAAGAUGACGGUACCCGACUAAGAAGCCCCGGCUAACUACGUGCCAGCCGCGGC
rnacentral:rRNA from 1 species